rnacentral:lncRNA from 1 species
CCCGAUGGCCUAAUUGUAAUUCAGCCCAAAAGAAUACCCUUUACGGUCAAUGUUCGCAACCCUCAGGUCAGCUCUUUCUCCUCCUCAUAAACCCUUCUACGCUCCUUCAUUUCGUCCUCCAACCCUUUCGCCGCUUUUCUGGAGCCGCAGCAUACGCGGAUCCAUUCAUUCGCUUCUCUCUCUCGAAAGGUAAAAUCCCUUGAUCUCUCAACUCCCUUUCUUUACGCAUCUUUGCUUUGUAGAUCUGAAGUAUCGUAGCUUCUUGUUGAUAGAUCUGUAUUUAGCUCUUUGUUUUGUUUAUUUCUAUAUACUUGCACUUGGUUUUAUCGGAUCGACGUAGAUCUGAAUAAACAAAACUUGAUUCAUAAGAUCAAGUGUUGUUUCUGUGCUGUUUACAUCGAUUUUGCGUUUAGCUUUUCGUGUUUUCGGUUUUCUAUGUUUUUAUAUACUAGAUCUGGUCUAUGAUCGGUUUUUAGUUGUCCGAAAUCCUUGUCCAUUACUUUGUAGUAUCCAUUUCAUGAUUCUGAGUUAAGAAAUAAUUGCGAAUCUUCCGCUCCUCUGUCUGUCGUCCAUUAAAAUCGCAUCUGUUGAUUUUACGUUUUCCAGUUGACCAAAAUAGUUCGUUGACCAAAAUCAACAUCAUUUCGUUGCAACUAUAACUAGAAAUGAUUCAAUCUGUGGGAGAUCUAAAAUAGAAAUUGUUUUGAUAUUUAUGUGAUCCGUGUUCGAUUGAGGUUUAACUACUUGAUGUUAUGUCGAUCUGUUGAAAACAUUUUCAUUAUUUAAUCAUUUAAACUUUGACAUCUGGGUUGACGUAUUUUUUCCCUUGUGUAGGGGUCAUGACGAUCGAUCAUUCACAUCACCCAAGUGUUUCCCAGAAGCUCGGUCUUCUUGGAUCCAGCAUGACACAGCUUCGUGCUCGUGAGACUGGAGUCCAGCAGCCACUUUACCAGAGGCAAUUUCAAUAUGGAAAUUACUCAAAUGCUGCAUUUCAG